GCGCUGGUUGUAUAGUGGUUAGUAUGCGGGGCCUCCAUGGCACGCGAUGGAUGCUAUUUUCUCCGUAUUGAGGAAACCCCGCGACCCGGGUUCAAUUCCCGGCCGGCGCA
rnacentral:tRNA from 1 species